rnacentral:rRNA from 1 species
UACGUAGGGUGCAAGCGUUGUCCGGAAUUAUUGGGCGUAAAGGGCUCGUAGGCGGUUCGUCGCGUCGGCUGUGAAAACCCGGAGCUCAACUCCGGGCCUGCAGUCGAUACGGGCGGACUAGAGUUCGGCAGGGGAGACUGGAAUUCCUGGUGUAGCGGUGAAAUGCGCAGAUAUCAGGAGGAACACCGGUGGCGAAGGCGGGUCUCUGGGCCGAUACUGACGCUGAGGAGCGAAAGCGUGGGGAGCGAACAGG